rnacentral:rRNA from 1 species
UACAGAGGUCCCGAGCGUUGUUCGGAUUCACUGGGCGUAAAGGGUGCGUAGGUGGCAUGGUAAGUUUGAUGUGAAAGCUCAGGGCUCAACCCUGAAAUGGCAUUGAAUACUACUGUGCUGGAGGUUUGGAGGGGGGACUGGAAUUCUCGGCGUAGCAGUGAAAUGCGUAGAUAUCGAGAGGAACACCAGUGGCGAAGGCGAGUCCCUGGACAACACCUGACACUGAGGCACGAAAGCUUGGGUAGCGAACGGG